CCUACGGGAGGCAGCAGUGGGGAAUAUUGCACAAUGGGGGAAACCCUGAUGCAGCGACGCCGCGUGAGUGAAGAAGUAUUUCGGUAUGUAAAGCUCUAUCAGCAGGGAAGAAGAAAGACGGUACCUGACUAAGAAGCCCCGGCUAACUACGUGCCAGCAGCCGCGGUAAUACGUAGGGGGCACGCGUUAUCCGGAUUUACUGGGUGUAAGGGGAGCGUAGACGGCUGUGCAAGUCUGAAGUGAAAGCCCAGGGCUCAACCCUGGGACUGCAUUGGAAACUGUGGAGCUAGAGUGCUGGAGAGGUAAGUGGAAUUCCUAGUGUAGCGGUGAAAUGCGUAGAUAUUAGGAGGAACACCAGUGGCGAAGGCGGCUUACUGGACAGUAACUGACGUUGAGGCUCGAAAGCGUGGGGAGCAAACAGGAUUAGAUACCCGUGUAGUC
rnacentral:rRNA from 1 species